AGAAUAUAAGAACCCGUCUCUUAACUUUUAACUAAAAAAGUUAAGAACCGGUUCUUAGCUUUUUUAGUUAAAAAUUAAGAGACGGGUUCUUAUAUUCU
rfam:Brassica napus, WGS project CCCW01000000 data, contig: 31052